rnacentral:tRNA from 2 species
CGCGGGGUGGAGCAGUCUGGUAGCUCGUCGGGCUCAUAACCCGGAGGUCGCUGGUUCAAAUCCAGCCCCCGCUA